CCUUCAUGAAGCUGGAAUUGCUAGUAAUGGCAGGUCAGCAUACUGCCGUGAAUACGUUCCCGGGCCUUGUACACACCGCCCGUCACACCAUGAGAGUUGGAAAUACCCGAAGCCUGUGAGCUAACUUAAAGAGGCAGCAGUCGAAGGUAGAGCCAAUGAUUGGGGUGAAGUCGUAACAAGGUAGC
rnacentral:rRNA from 1 species